rnacentral:lncRNA from 1 species
GUAAAGGAGAAGAACCUUUGCUUCAAAUGCCAAAGGGACCAGGAGAGCAUCGCUUAUCUGUAGAUUUCUCCUCUCAGCCCACAGCCCCAGCUCAUGGUACAGGCGAGGCCUGCAACAACAGGCAGGUGGACCUGGGUAGCAGAGGCCUGUAGAGUUUGGCAGAGGCGCCUCAUGCUCUUAUUUGCAGCCCUUUGCCUGUGAUUAGUGGUUUGGCUUGGGAAACCUUGGAAAGGGCUCAGAGAACCAAGCUGCUGAUUAACGCCACAGCUGGUCAACACAGCGGACAGCUGACCGCCGAGGCCCCCGUGGUCUGUGGUUCCUGCCUUUCAGGCUGGUGUGGGACUGGGGUGUUGGUUUGGAUCCUAGAGCUGAGGUGUAGCCUUACAGCUCUGGGUCUCUCCUGGUGUUCCAGUGGAACUAGCACCCCAGAGCAGGGCCCUCAGGGGACUUGGCGGCUAACUUCUUGCUGGGAAGCAAGAGACUUCAUUCUCUGUUCCCGGCCUGCCCCAUGCGGGGCUCUCUCUGCAGGUACCUGAAAGAAUUCCGCACAGAGCAGUGCCCACUCUUUGUGCAACACAAAUGCACGCAGCAUCGGCCCUACACCUGCUUCCACUGGCACUUCGUGAACCAGCGGCGCCGCCGGUCCAUCCGCCGUCGGGACGGCACCUUCAAUUACAGCCCUGACGUCUACUGCACCAAGUACGACGAGGCUACAGGCCUCUGCCCGGAGGGCGACGAGUGAGUGACCCAGCCUGUCCUCAGAGGAGCCCCGUGUCUCCUUCUGGGUCAGAUGCCCUCAGGGUAGGCUGGGCAGAUUCUGGGAAGCCAUCCAGAGGACUGGUUGCAGCCCAGCCCAUGGCCCGAGCCUGGACUCAGACCCCACCAUCCCU